rnacentral:hammerhead_ribozyme from 1 species
AUCCAACUGACGAGCCCCAAAUGGGACGAAACGCUUGUUCUGGAU